AUCUGAUACUGGGGACAUCUAGUGUACAAUUUGUUGAAUUGUUCCCAGUACUCAUAUAAGGUCUCCCAUGGCUGCUGCUUAAUGCCACAUAUCUCUUUUCUUAAGCU